UACGUAGGGUGCAAGCGUUGUCCGGAAUUAUUGGGCGUAAAGAGCUCGUAGGCGGUCUGUCACGUCGGCUGUGAAAACUCGGGGCUCAACCCCGAGCCUGCAGUCGAUACGGGCAGACUAGAGUCCGGCAGGGGAGACUGGAAUUCCUGGUGUAGCGGUGAAAUGCGCAGAUAUCAGGAGGAACACCGGUGGCGAAGGCGGGUCUCUGGGCCGGAACUGACGCUGAGGCACGAAAGCGUGGGGAGCAAACAGG
rnacentral:rRNA from 1 species